rnacentral:rRNA from 1 species
AAUUUUCAACAACGGAUCUCUUGGCUCUCGCAUCGAUGAAAAACGCAGCGAAGUGCGAUAAAUAAUGUGAAUUGCAAAAUUCAGUGAAUCAUCAAAUCUUUGAACGCACCUUGCGCUCCUUGGUAUUCCUUGGAGCAUGCCUGUUUGAGUAUCAU